rnacentral:tRNA from 1 species
GGGGACGUGGUGUAAUUGGUAGCACAAACGUUUACCAAGCGGCAGGAGCGGGUUCGAACCCCGUCGCCUCCACCA